rnacentral:misc_RNA from 1 species
CAGCCGCGUAAUUCCAGCUCCAAUAGCGUAUAUUAAAGUUGUUGCAGUUAAAAAGCUCGUAGUUGAAUUUCGGGAUCAAAUUGUUGGUCGUGCCUCGGUACGCACUGGUAUUAUUGGUUCCUACCUUCUGAAGAACCGCGAUGUCAUUAAUUUGGUGUCGUGGGGAAUCAGGACUGUUACUUUGAAAAAAUUAGAGUGUUUAAAGCAGGCUUACGCUUGAAUACAUUAGCAUGGAAUAAUGAAAUAGGACGUUUGAUUCUAUUUUGUUGGUUUCUAGGAUUGACGUAAUGAUUAAUAGGGAUAGUUGGGGGCAUUAGUAUUCAAUUGUCAGAGGUGAAAUUCUUGGAUUUAUUGAAGACUAACUACUGCGAAAGCAUUUGCCAAGGAUGUUUUCAUUAAUCAAGAACGAAAGUUAGGGGAUCGAAGACGAUCAGAUACCGUCGUAGUCUUAACCAUAAACUAUGCCGACUAGGGAUCGGAUGAUGUUAAUUUUUUAAUGACUCAUUCGGCGCCUUACG